UACAGAGGGUGCAAGCGUUAAUCGGAAUUACUGGGCGUAAAGCGCACGUAGGCGGUUUUUUAAGUCAGAUGUGAAAGCCCCGGGCUCAACCUGGGAAUUGCAUUUGAAACUGGGAAACUAGAGUGUGUGAGAGGGGGGUAGAAUUCCAAGUGUAGCGGUGAAAUGCGUAGAGAUUUGGAGGAAUACCAGUGGCGAAGGCGGCCCCCUGGCCCGAUAUUGACGCUGAGGUGCGAAAGCGUGGGGAGCAAACAGG
rnacentral:rRNA from 1 species